GGGGGUGGAGUGGAGGAAGGCUUUGUAAAAACUGUGGAAUAGUCUAACAGACUACAGAUUGGAGAAAGGGAGACUGUCGGGGAAGGGGUUCCAAAGGCAGGAACUGUGUUCCCUUUGUCAAAACUGGUGCAUCUCUUUUGGCGAAUGCUACCUGCCCCCACCACACCUUCUCUGCAUAUGUGUGUGUGUGUGCCAGGAGAGGGGUGGGGACUCCUUGACUCGCUUGCUCCCCUCCCUUCAGCUUCAGAGCUACAUAAAGAGGGGGAGACAACGUGUCUACUCCAUGCGCCGCAGACUUUGCAUCCUGAAAACACAGACUGGGAGAGUUACUCCCUCCCCUAGGCGACUAUUUCGACAGCCAUGUACCACUUUCUGCGACUCGCUUUCCUCAGUCUCUUGUGUCUCCACGCUUUGGGCUGGGUAAUUAGAAGAUCCACACAGAAUGAACCAUGGAAAGCUCUGGACCAGCUGCAGAACAGAGAGCUGUUUCUUGCAGCCCUACAAUCCUACUUCAGCAACAAGGGCAUCCACGUGGACCGAACAGCUCCUGCCUUCGCCUUGCCCUUGAUGGAACGUGACAUGAGGAUCCAGGAAACACUGGAAAAGCAAGCUCUGGUGACGCUGGAGCCCAGCACGGACAAGUAGAUAAGCCUCUUUCUCAGGAGGGCAGGUGAAAUAUUCUGCCUUUGAACAUACUUACCCCAGUUCAACUCCACUCGGAUACAGUCACAGUCUGACUUUUUAUACAUGCCAGAGACUUGUUGGUUUGAGGAUUACAGGAAUGAAUGAACCCCUCUGUGUUUUAAGCAAUCUCGUUCUAAAUAAAUUCUGCUUAUGUUUCA